GUCUAUGGACACAUCACGCUGAACGUGCUCAAACUCCUCUAAUCUCAGAAGCUAAGCAGGGUUGGGCCUAGUUAGUACUUGGAUGGGAGAAACUACAGUGUUGUGAGUG
rnacentral:rRNA from 1 species